rnacentral:rRNA from 1 species
UCUACGGGAGGCAGCAGUGGGGAAUAUUGCACAAUGGGGGAAACCCUGAUGCAGCGACGCCGCGUGAGUGAAGAAGUAUUUCGGUAUGUAAAGUUCUAUCAGCAGGGAAGAAAGUGACGGUACCUGACUACGAACCCCCGGCUAACUCCGUGCCCGCAGCAGCGGUAAUCCGUAGGGGGCAAGCGUUAUCCGGAUUUACUGGGUGUAAAGGGAGCGUAGGCGGCAGUGCAAGUCAGAAGUGAAAUCCCAGGGCUUAACCCUGGGACUGCUUUGGAAACUGUGAGGCUAGAUUGCAGGAGAGGUAAGCGGAAUUCCUAGUGUAGCGGUGAAAUGCGUAGAUAUUAGGAGGAACACCAGUGGCGAAGGCGGCUUGCUGGACUGUAACUGACGUUGAGGCUCGAAAGCGUAGGGAGCAAACAGGAUUAGAUACCCGAGUAGUC